rnacentral:rRNA from 1 species
UACGGGGGGGGCAAGCGUUGUUCGGAAUUACUGGGCGUAAAGCGUGCGCAGGCGGUUCUAUAAGACAGAUGUGAAAUCCCCGGGCUCAACCUGGGAACUGCAUUUGUGACUGUAGAGCUGGAGUACGGCAGAGGAGACUGGAAUUCCUGGUGUAGCAGUGAAAUGCGUAGAUAUCAGGAGGAACACCGAUGGCGAAGGCAGGUCUCUGGGCUGACACUGACGCUCAUGCACGAAAGCGUGGGGAGCAAACAGG